rnacentral:rRNA from 1 species
GAUGAACGCUGGCGGCGUGCCUAAUACAUGCAAGUCGAGCGAACAGACGAGGAGCUUGCUCCUCUGACGUUAGCGGCGGACGGGUGAGUAACACGUGGAUAACCUACCUAUAAGACUGGGAUAACUUCGGGAAACCGGAGCUAAUACCGGAUAAUAUAUUGAACCGCAUGGGUCAAUAGUGAAAGACGGUUUUGCUGUCACUUAUAGCUGGAUCCGCGCCGCAUUAGCUAGUUGGUAAGGUAACGGCUUACCAAGGCAACGAUGCGUAGCCGACCUGAGAGGGUGAUCGGCCACACUGGAACUGAGACACGGUCCAGACUCCUACGGGAGGCAGCAGUAGGGAAUCUUCCGCAAUGGGCGAAAGCUUGACGGAGCAACGCCGCGUGAGUGAUGAAGGUCUUCGGAUCGUAAAACUCUGUUAUUAGUGAAGAACAAAUGUGUAAGUAACUAUGCACGUCUUGACGGUACCUAAUCAGAAAGCCACGGCUAACUACGUG